GUGUUUUCCGUGCAGCUGUAGCGACUCGGCUGUAAAACCAAUCAGUGGAAUGUGAUCAACUUAGACGAAGCAGAAGGAUGUAGCGUGAUGUCCACCAGAGUGUUGAAAGCUGUCAGGAUGACGUAGAAACGUGAUGCUUGCCGGCCACAGACACACAAGUUUUCUCUGCAGCAGUCUGAGGCUGUUUCCACCGUCGACGUUUUAUUAAACCACUUCUUAAUACUCUAA